rnacentral:tRNA from 1 species
UGUUUAAUAAUUUAAUAAUAAAAUGAUAAAGUGCAAAUUUAUUUAUAUUUCUUUUGAAAUUUAAACAU